GGGAUAAUGAUAAUGUACUGAAUCUGUUUUAGUCUUUUUCCUGCUUCUAUAGUGUAGUAGGUAUUUCCUUUGUAUACUUCCUGUAUAUUUGGACUAUGCCUAUUCUUGAUAAUAAAAUCUCUUAUUAAUUAUUAAAAAAGAAAUUAUCAAUGAAUGACAACAAGCAGUUUAUCCCAUCACCUUGUGAAUUUAAAUUUUAUCUAACAAUACAAGUUGGCGGGGACAGUAAGUGGUCCAUGAACUAUUUGAAAAACAAUGAUGAUGAUGUCUCCCUGCAGCCCCAGGUGAUUACUGCUGGUAAGAUGGUGUAGUGGGAGGUACCUUCCCUAGCUCAUUCACUAUAGCCAUUAUCCCCAUCAAAAGCUUAUAACGUUGCAAUGCAGGCUACAAAGACUGAGACCGGUUGAACUUACAACACUUCCAUGGGGAGGAAGAGCAGCAUAUUCAUUCUCUUUUUGUGCUACAAUUUGGUGAAAGGUGGAAAAUCAGCUUUGCCUUCUAUCUGGAAGAUCCACGGAUACAGAAAGGAAAUAUAAAUGUGUCUUAAAGUUUGUACUGAUGAAGAAAAACAAACGAGGAAAUAUGUCAGUCUUUCUUGAAUAUAUAUUUGUACUGCAAUAAGAGUAUAAGCUAUGUGUAAGAACGUAGUUAGUUAUAACGUGCACAGAUUGUUCUCUGUA